rnacentral:rRNA from 1 species
AUGGAUCAAGAAGAGGUUCAUAUCGCGGUGGGGAAGAACUUCAAAAGAGAGAAGGCUAACAUAUUAUGGGCAGCUGCAAAUUUCCCAAGGGCCACACUAGUUCUUGUCAAUGUUCACUGGCCAUCCAAGUGGAUGCCUUUCAUGGGUGGUGAGUUGCUAUACAAGUUUGCAGAUGAAAAGGAGAAGCAGAUGCAUAGAGACAAACAAACAGAAGCAACGGUUAGGAUGUUGUUACAAUAUAAAAGCCUGUGUGAUACAAGAGAGGUUAAGGCACAUUACAUCACACACGAUGACAUUCUCGUUGGUCUUGUAAACCUGAUAAAGAAGCUCAAAAUAAAGAGAAUUGUCAUCGGUUCAAGGAAAAUGGCAAAGCAAGAGGAGCUUCGCAAAUGUUGUCAGGUUUGGGUGGUGCUCAAUGGAAAAUACAUGUCCACUAGUAAUGAUUAUCUGAAACAUACGGGAAGCAUUGGAUAUAGAGGGAGCUCUGAUUUGUUGGCAUCUAUACAUGAGCUGACUCAGCUGAGCGACGAAUCUGAUGGAUACACAACACCACCAAGUGAUUUUUAUGUCUCAUUUCAGGCAGAUGAUAUCAUCAAUGGGGAUCGGGUUAUUCAGAUGGAUGGUGCUGAUCAAUCAGCAAAGGAAGCUGAACAAGGCGUCGAGGAAUCAAAUGCUUAUGAGGAGGUGGAGAUUUUUUCCGAAGAGGGUGCUGAUAAAUCUGAUGAGAUACAGAGUGCCAGAAAUAUUUCUGAAGAGGCUGCAAAAUUGAUGGACGAAAUGGAGAAGCUCCAAAGGAAAUUAAAAGAUCUGCAAGAUGAGGGCUAUAAUCAUGAACAAAGCAUCUUGUCACCCAGAAAAGGGAACGUUUUGCUGAGGGAGAGAACCUUAUCGAAAAAUAGAUACCCGAAGCUGCAUAUUCCAGAUCAUAUUUCCGAGUUCCCCAUGUCGCGUAUUGAGAAAGCGACCAAUAACUUCCACUCAAAAAAUCUCAUAGGAGAAGGAGGCUAUGGCCCAGUGUACAAAGGAAAACUAGGUGGUGUCAUAGUGGCUAUCAAGAUGUUGGGACCCCAUGGUAAACCCCAUGGUAAACAAGGUUUCCCAGAGUUUCAGCAGGAGGUUGCGGUACUGAGCAGAACCGAGCACCCACACAUCGUGAGGCUGAUCGGCGUGUGCCAGGAAUCAUGCAUCCUCAUUUACGAGCACCUCCCCAAUGGCACGCUCAUGGACGGGCUCUCCAAGGGGCUUCCAUGGAAGGAUCGUAUCAGGAUCCUCGCCGAGCAGCGUUCCGCGCUAGCGCACCUCCACUCCAGCUUCCCCCAUGCCAUCAUCCACGCGGACCUGAAGCUGAUGAACAUCCUCCUCGACGCCGGGAAUGUGAGCCGGCUAGGGGACUUUGGAACGGCGCGCAUUGUGCAGAUGAAGCCUUUGAAGGAGGACACAAUAUGCCGGCGGACGAACCCGAUGGGCACGAUGGGGUACAUGGACCCCAUCUUCUUCAUGACUGGCGAGCUCACCACAGAGUCGGACGUCUACGCGUUCGGCAUGGUGAUCCUGCAGGUGCUCACGGGGCUGCUCGACCUCAACAUCGUCGAGCAGGUACGGGAGGCGCUCAGGAGGGAUGCGGUGCACGGCCUGCUGGACGCAUCUGCCGGCAGCUGGCCAGAGGUGCAGGCAGAGCGGCUCCUUCGGCUGGCGCUGAAGUGCUGCAACCUGGAGCGGAAGCAGCGACCGACCUUCACGUCCGACACCGACUGGAGACCGCUGGACAUCCUGCGGACCAUGGCGACCGCAAGUAAGUCCCGGAAAUGGAGUCGUGGAAAGUGA